GGGAAGUCCCGCAGUUCCUCCUGUUUCUACUGUGCUUAAGUGCAGCCAAACCCUCAGCUCAGGGAGGUGCUGUGUCCACACGGCCUGCGAGGGGAGGCUCCAAAUGGGCAUCUGGGCUCCAGGAACACAAAACAAAGCUUGGACCACCCUGUGAAUUAAGUCAUUCUUCUUGGCCAGAAAGUGACUUAGGAAAGUAAACAUCUUGAAGCUUGUAUUGCACAGCUCUUCUUUCAAAAGUCCAAAUUAAGUGCUUGGAUGUGCAGCCUGUGCUGAGAGGUAGCAUUUGUGUGGCUGGGGUUCUUGAAAUUUCCUUUGGAGGAAUUUUCACAAAGAAAACAGAAGUUUGUGUUUUCUGACAUUUGCUUUAACCAAAAGGCAUUGUGAGGACUUUUACAGAAUACCAAUUAUCCUCACAGGUGAUGCUGUUCAUGCCUGGGAAACUGGUGCCAUGAGACAGGUUGUGCUCUUGGGUCACCAGAGAAAGCCUAUUUGCCCCAUGCUGGGCUCAGGGAGAGCUGGGUGCUCCAACUGGUCCGAGUAUGGCUCAGAGGUACCACACAACAAGCACACCUGCCUGGCAGCAGAUGGACACCCACAGCACAAAGCAAGAGGACAAGAGGGAUUUCCUGAAGCAAAUCCAGGACUUGCUGAGAUACAGACACCACCACUCUGAGCUAUAGGAGGGACAGACCAUCUCCUAUGACUGUUUUCUGAGUGGAUCACUGAAAGCAUGAAUGAGCAUUGUAAUGUUAUAGCACAUCUUUUCAGUGGUGUGGAGCACAAAAAUCCUACUCUCAUAUGGCAGUAAUAUGCAGUGUUUAACAAAAAUAUAUAAAGUAAAGAAAUUCAAGGUAAAUUGGAGCGAUUUACUAUUUUUACUCAUGUUACCUCUAAUUCAGCAGACAGGUUUUCUGCCCCUCUCUCUAGUAUGAAACAAAGGGUAUAUCUCUAAUAGUGAUAAAGCUGUACAGAACAGAAUUUAGCCACCUACACAGCUUUAAUCAAACAUCUUUCACUACUUGAAAAGGGAAUUUAUCGAGGUAACAGCUUUUAAAUUGACCACACUAGUGUUUCUGGGAUAAGCCCUCCAUCAUUUCUUGGUAUUUGUCUCCAUCUGCCACAUUAACCUUCCUCUGAUUUCUCUCCUAAAUGUCGGUCCAGCAGGGUCAGAGGCAGCCACAACGUGGCCAGGAGGACUCUGAUGUGGUGCAGCUCUUUCCUCAUUACCUGAUUUGGCACACAUUCGUGUAGCAGCUGAGACUGCUGCUCCUGAAACUUCCCCAGUUAGUUUGUUCCUUAAACAGAAGAACAGUGAAAAAUGUCACUCUUCUUGAUGAAUACAGUUCUGCCACAGAUGAUCUAAGUCCCAGUCCUGUAACUCCUCACGAGUGUGUAUUAUCACUCUCUUUAACAUUUCUAUUGCUCUACACCACAACCACGUAGGCAAUGUCUGUGCUGCAAACAAAAGAGGGUUAGGUACAAUGCCUUAUCCUAAAGUCAAGUAGCUUAUUUGGUACAGCUCCUGUAUAAAUAUAUAUUUCCCAUGCUGCAAGACUACUUACUUCAGUUUACAGAAGCUGAAGGAGAGAGUAACUGCUGUCUUUUCUAAAUUUCAGUCCGUGUAGUCCUUAGCUCUAAAUUGUUUGAAGCAUAGUGUAUAGAUGUAGCAUGUAGAAUGAAACUUCUCAUCAAACUCAUUAUUAAAAGAGCAGAUUUUAGUGCUAGGAAAAGUUCAUCCUCAAUUAAUGGUAGCCUCAAUACAAUAUUUAGGAAGUACAUACAGGCACAUGCAUGUGCAUGCACACACUACCUGCUCCUCUUUCUUAAGUUCUCUGGUCACUACAUGUAAAGUGGAAUCCUUAUUUCUUUAAAUAACUCAUUUCUUCCUCUUUCAAUGAACUUACUCAUGCUCUUUGAACUUCAAGGUAGAAAAAUCAAAAGCAGUCACUGUGUCUCUUAGGAGUUCUUGACCUACUUUGUACUGAUCAGUUCUCAUCUCCUACAGAAAUGUGGAAACUGUGUCAGAAGGAUUUACACAAUAAGAUGUUGAGAAUGUUUCUUCUUUUAACUUUAUGCAUUUCAAGGAAGAGAACCUGAAUGCAAUAUGCACAAUCUUUAAUACAAUUGUGGGAAAAAUGUCCAUGCCAACAGAUAAUGUAAAAGAUCCUCUGUGGGCUCAAUGAGUUGUCUUGUGUAAUUCAGAAAAGAGCCUUUGAAUUCUUUCAUGUUGGCAAUAAAAUCAAAACUAUUGUAGAAUGAUUUUGUUGGCAGAAAAAGGGGAGAUUUGAAAACUUGGGGGAAGGAGGUAAAGCAAAAUAUUUUCUCACUUGAAGAUAAAGUUCCACUAAUCAGUCACUGAUCAAUGGUGUGGGAAAAAGGCUCAUAAUAAAUGUAAUGAUCUAUUAUGAACAGAGGAGUUCAUAUUUUUUAAAUGUUGCUAAAGAAUCAAAGAUCUGGUUAGAAUACCCACCCCUCAACCUGUCAAAUGCCAUUAAUUAAAUCAGAAGUCCAGGACACUGAUACACAGAGAAUGGGACAAAUUAGGUUUCAUUGUGAGUUAGCCCUUGAAUUCUCUCCAAA